rnacentral:rRNA from 1 species
AACGAACGCCGGCGGCAGGCUUAACACAUGCAAGUCGAACGGGUGUAGCAAUACAUCAGUGGCAGACGGGUGAGUAACGCGUGGGAACAUACCCUUUCCUGCGGAAUAGCUCUGGGAAACUGGAAUUAAUACCGCAUACGCCCUACGGGGGAAAGAUUUAUCGGGGAAGGAUUGGCCCGCGUUGGAUUAGCUUGUUGGUGGGGUAAAGGCCUACCAAGGCGACGAUCCAUAGCUGGUCUGAGAGGAUGAUCAGCCACAUUGGGACUGAGACACGGCCCAAACUCCUACGGGAGGCAGCAGUGGGGAAUAUUGGACAAUGGGCGCAAGCCUGAUCCAGCCAUGCCGCGUGAGUGAUGAAGGCCUUAGGGUUGUAAAGCUCUUUCACCGAUGAAGAUAAUGACGGUAGUCGGAGAAGAAGCCCCGGCUAACUUCGUGCCAGCAGCCGCCGUAAUAC